rnacentral:rRNA from 1 species
AUACUGUAAAGCUAGGGAGUGGGAGAGGUAGACGGUACUCCGUAGGAAGGGGUAAAAUCCUUUGAUCUAUGGAUGACCACCAGUGGCGAAGGCGGUCUACCAGAACACGUUCGACGGUGAGGGAUGAAAGCUGGGGGAGCAAACCGGAUUAGAUACCCGGGUAGUCCCAGCUGUAAACUAUGCAAACUCAGUGAUGCAUUGGCUUGUGGCCAGUGCAGUGCCGCAGAGAAGUCGUUAAGUUUGCCGCCUGGGAAGUACGUACGCAAGUAUGAAACUUAAAGGAAUUGGCGGGGGAGCACCACAAGGGGUGAAGCCUGCGGUUCAAUUGGAGUCAACGCCAGAAAUCUUACCCGGAGAGACAGCAGAAUGAAGGUCAAGUUGAAGCCUUUACCAGACAAGCUGAGAAGUGGUGCAUGGCCGUCGCCAGCUCGUGCCGUG